rnacentral:rRNA from 1 species
UGGCGAACGGGUGAGUAACACGUGGGCAAUCUGCCCUUCACUCUGGGACAAGCCCUGGAAACGGGGUCUAAUACCGGAUAACACUCCUCAGGGCAUCUUGAGGGGUUAAAAGCUCCGGCGGUGAAGGAUGAGCCCGCGGCCUAUCAGCUUGUUGGUGGGGUAAUGGCCUACCAAGGCGACGACGGGUAGCCGGCCUGAGAGGGCGACCGGCCACACUGGGACUGAGACACGGCCCAG